rnacentral:rRNA from 1 species
UACAGAGGGUGCGAGCGUUAAUCGGAAUUACUGGGCGUAAAGCGCGCGUAGGCGGCUUUGCAAGUCGGGUGUGAAAUCCCCAGGCUUAACCUGGGAACUGCAUUCGAGACUGCAUUGCUAGAGUAUGGGAGAGGGAAGUGGAAUUUCCGGUGUAGCGGUGAAAUGCGUAGAUAUCGGGAGGAACACCAAUGGCGAAGGCAGCUCGCUGGGACGGUACUGACGCUGAGACGCGAAAGCGUGGGGAGCAAACAGG